UAACUGGUACCUCAGUGGGUUAGAGUAUUGUCCUGACAUGUCAAAGUUGUAGGAUUGAUCCCCCAGUUAA
rnacentral:tRNA from 1 species